rnacentral:rRNA from 1 species
UACGGAAGGCAGCAGGUGGGGAAUAUUGCACAAUGGGCGCAAGCCUGAUGCAGCCAUGCCGCGUGUAUGAAGAAGGGCCUUCGGGUUGUAAAGUACUUUCAGUCGUGAGGAAGGUGUUAAGGUUAAUAACCUUAGCAAUUGACGUUAGCGACAGAAGAAGCACCGGCUAACUCCGUGCCAGCAGCCGCGGUAAUACGGAGGGUGCGAGCGUUAAUCGGAAUUACUGGGCGUAAAGGGCACGCAGGCGGUUAAUUAAGUUGGAUGUGAAAUCCCCGGGCUUAACCUGGGAAUGGCAUUCAAGACUGGUUAGCUAGAGUCUUGUAGAGGGGGUAGAAUUCCAUGUGUAGCGGUGAAAUGCGUAGAGAUGUGGAGGAAUACCGGUGGCGAAGGCGGCCCCUGGGACAAAGGACUGACGCUCGAUGUGCGAAAGCGUGGGGAGCAAACAGGAUUAGAUACC